CCAAAAUGUGUGGAACUCAUGAUCAGAGAAUCCUGAUUCUCGAUCACAGAGUCUCAGACACGUAGGACUCAGAGUCUCCAAGCAUUAGGACUCUUGGUCGAAGAGUCCCAGUCCAGUAGGACUCUUCACCAGCCAUCAGAUCAGAUAGGAACCUCUAAUGUGUGUGACCUCACAGGUUCGAACCUAAGCCGGUAGCACAGGAACCAAUUUUUAUACUAAUCGAAGUGACCAUCUAGCAAUGAUAUCCGAUGUUCGGAUAGGUCAAAUAGUUGCAAUCGCAACAUUCAGAACCUACAUGAAUGUGGUUAUUAUAU
rnacentral:lncRNA from 1 species